CCAAGGGCCUUCAAAUGUGGCAAGUUUAAGACUUGUGGACUUCAACUCCCAGAAUUCUUGAGCUAACUUGACUGGAGGAGGAAUUCUGGGAGUUGAAGUCCACAAAGUCUUACAGCUAUCAAAUUUGAAGACCUCUGUUCUACAGACUUGAACAUAGAGGAAU